GUCCCGUGUGGCUCAGUUGGUAGAGCAUGGCGCUUUUAACGGCAGGGUUGUGGGUUCAAUUCCCACUGGGGACC